UAGGCUACGCUGUUAAUAAGCUAUAUGUAAAUAUCGCUGCUUAGGCGGAGCUUACUAACACACAAAUUAGAGAUUAAAUUAGUAUUGAAUGAAACUUUGUUUAUAUAUCGAUAAUGACGAUAUAUAUAUUAUGUCUUGACCAAUUACGUGCCAGCAGUCGCGGUAAUACGUAAGAGACUAGUGUUAUUCAUCUUAAUUAGGUUUAAAGGGUACUCAAACGGUCUGUUUUGCACAAAAGACUAGAGUUAUAUAGAAGAAGGUAGUACCUUAAGUGUAGAGAUAAAAUUUUGUUAUACUGGAGGGACUUAGAAAAGGCGUAGGCAACCUUCUAAGUAAUAACUGACGUUGAAGGACGAAGGCAUAGGUCACGAACAGGACUAGUAACCCAAGUAGUCUUUGCAGUCAAUGAUGAAUGCCAUAGGUUAGAUAAAAAUUUAGUCUAUAAAUGAAAAUGUAAGCAUUUCACCUCAAGAGUAAUGUGGCAACGCAGGAACUGAAAUCACUAGACCGUUUCUGACACCAGUAGUGAAGUAUGUUAUUUAAUUC
rnacentral:rRNA from 1 species